AUUGAACGCUGGCGGCAGGCCUAACACAUGCAAGUCGAGCGAGCGGCGGACGGGUGAGUAAUGUCUGGGGAACUGCCCGAUGGAGGGGGAUAACUACUGGAAACGGUAGCUAAUACCGCAUACCAUCAGAUGUGCCCAUAUGGGAUUAGCUGGUGGGGGGGGUAAAGGCUCACCUAGGCGACGAUCCCUAGCUGGUCUGAGAGGAUGACCAGCCACACUGGAACUGAGACACGGUCCAGACUCCUACGGGAGGCAGCAGUGGGGAAUAUUGCACAAUGGGCGCAAGCCUGAUGCAGCCAUGCCGCGUGUAUGAAGAAGGCCUUAGGGUUGUAAAGUACUUUCAGCGGGGAGGCGUUACCCGCAGAAGAAGCACCGGCUAACUCCGUGCCAGCAGCCGCGGUAAUUC
rnacentral:rRNA from 1 species